GAUGAAGAACGCAGCGAAAUGCGAUAAGUAAUGUGAAUUGCAGAAUUCAGUGAAUCAUCGAAUCUUUGAACGCACCUUGCGCUCCUUGGUAUUCCGAGGAGCAUGCCUGUUUGAGUGUCAUGAAAUUCUCAACCUUUUCAGCUUUCUUUGUUGAUCAGGCUUGGAUGUGGGAGUAUGCGGGCUUCUCAGAAGUCGGCUCUCCUGAAAUGCAUUAGCGGGACCUUUGUUGCCUGGCUUUGGUGUGAUAAUUAUCUACGCCAUUGUAGUCAAGCAGCUUAAAAUGGGGUUUCAGCUUCUAACCGUCUCCCCUGAGACAACUUUUUGCCAAUUUGACCUCAAAUCAGGUAGGACUACCCGCUGAACUUAAGCAUAUCAAUAAGCGGAGGA
rnacentral:misc_RNA from 1 species